ACUUGCAAAGAUAACCAAUCAUACAUAAAAGAAUCUCGCGAGGGUGAGCUAACUCCAAAAACCCGUCCUCAGUUCGGAUUGCAGGCUGCAACUCGCCUGCAUGAAGCAGGAAUCGCUAGUAAUCGCCGGUCAGCCAUACGGCGGUGAAUCCGUUCC
rnacentral:ncRNA from 1 species